rnacentral:lncRNA from 1 species
GCUGAUACAGAAGUUACUACGAACAUAGUGCAGGUGGUGCGAAUGGGCGACAUGAGAGUUAACUUCGCUUCAAGACUGAUCCGUUUAUUAUGGGGAGGGCUUUACGUGGCGACUGUGUCCGCUUCUUUCUCAAGUACUCACAGCUUUGAAGCGCAAAAAUCCCUACGUUUUGCUGCUUAUGACGACGAAUGGGGGCUCCUUGCCGCCCGAAACUUGUCUGCUUGGCGCUCGCACCUCUUUGUGGCGACAGAAAAGGUUAGCUGUCCAAGUUAUAUAUUCUGGAUCCAUAAAUGUUUAAAUAUAUGUGUCAGCAGCCGCAAAGAAGUUGACACGGAAUGGUUACGAUACAACGAGCGGAGUUGUUGGUGCAGAGCCCAGCCAACGCUUACAGGCAGAUGGCUGAUUAAGUACGCUCAACCACAUAAUCUUGGCGACUAGCAGUUGGAAGUUCGCCGAAAAACACCGGCUGGCCUUCCCACCAGCACAGGCGACCUAACCGUCAUGGCCCUGUGACGCUCCGGGGGCCGCCUUUCCCCCACUAUCAAUCCCACACGCGACAUCAUCAUGCCUUACUAGAUGUGUGUUGGCAAGAAGAGCGUCUGUGCCGGUAGGGUAUCUCCGCCGCUGUCUACCUAUGGAUGCUUAUGUAACAUGUCGAGGGAAGCUUGAAUAUCGGAUGUGUGAGGCCCCAAUUGCAUCACAGGACACGACUCACCGUCAUAUUCUUGCAAACGAUGGCAACCGGGCCCGGCAGCACUUCACAUCCCUCCUCUCUGAUCCCCCCUUCUUCCGCGCCCAGUACAUCGUCUCUAAGGGCAACACCGACAAGCCGAAGGACUGGGACCGCUUCCAAUUGUUCCAGCCCUUCAUCAGCUGCCCGCCAGGGCGGCCGCUGCGGCGUGUGGGUCCCGAGGGUGAUGGCGGCAAAUGGCUCUGUGAGCCCGCUGCCCUAAAGGAACCGUGCACCGUCGUUUCCAUGGGCAGCAACAUGGAUUUCAGGUAGGCGUGGUAUCUAAUGGAAAGAUCUCCGCUAAUAGCUAGUUUACUUUGGGCCAAGCCCAAUCGCUUAAAAUAAAGACCACAUAUUUUGACAAUUUGUGCGUGCAUUGAACUCCGACCGCAUUCCGUCGCACCGCUGCCGUUUAUCUUAGAAAACAAACAAGGACAACGCCGCUCGUGUUGCUCGCCCGCUAGCAACCACAAAUAUUACAAACAGGCAACCAAACGUAAUAUCAGGGCUGAAGCCGCUGGGGAAACAGCAAGUCGGCCGCAUGGGCAGCGCCGCAUCGGCCCGCACGCCCCAGCAUCAAGCAAAACGAAUUUAUUCCAAUCCAUAUGGGAAUAUGCUGAAGUUUUGGCCAUGGAAAGGCAUAGAAUGGAGAUGGUUUACACAGCUCGCGCCAACGAACAAUGUAAUGUCCCAUGUAAACUGGGUGACUUUCUCAGGGCCACUUUUACCUAAGCGUUUUCGCAACGUAACGUAGCAUGUAAAUCCAGUAUAAGGCGCACUGGGUGCUGGAGGCCAUGGACUAUGUACAUCUUAAAAGUUAAUUCCACCGUACAACCGAUGGUGGUUUUGGGUCCUGGUACCUGCUACUAGAUCCCUCCUCAUCCAGUCACCCGACAUCCAAGAGAGCCGUCGCCACCAAUUCAGCAUGCGAAACUUAGUCCAUCAACUAGACCUCAUCUCCACAGCCUCAGCAACAAUCCACUUAAUACUCCACCUAACUGUCUGGGGUCUGCACAGGAAGCAGAUGAAGGUCUCGGGGACUCAGUUUGAUAUGUGCCGCGGCCGACAUCUGAAACCCGACAUGUGUGCCCUUGUAGUACCCAGCUGCAGGCGGGGGCGGGGCCUGCAAAGAGUUGGAAGUUGGAAAUUCGUUAUACUGAUGAUAUGCGCUAACGCUGCGGUUACUAUGCUUUUGCUGCUACUCCUGCUGCUGGUGCUGUUGCCGCUAAUAUGCCAAAUGUACAAAUGUACGACAGGUUCGAGGAGGCCAUCCUGAAUGAGACGCGCUGCAAGGUCGCCACCCUAGAUUGCACGGUGGAGGGCAAGAAGCUCUCAGACCGCCACUCCUUCCACAAACUGUGCGUGGGUUCAGCUGCCGCAGCGCAGCGAGACCCUGCAUUUGUGACGUACAGCCAGUUUAUUUCGGCGUUAGGCGAGCAUAAAAUUGACAUACUGAAAAUCGACGUCGAGUCAUUUGAGUUUCCGCUGUUCGGGGAGUGGCGUGAGCACUCGCGAUCCCUGCCCGAGCAGAUUGCCGUAGAAGUGCACUGGCAUGAGGCUUACCUCAGGAAUUUUGAGGCAGACCUUCAAUCGCACUGGGGUCGCGGUGAAUUUGGCGUGACGGAUCUGGCGUUGUUCUUCCUCCACCUAGCAAACCUGGGCUAUGGCAUUGUCAGCCAGGAGAUAAACGAAUUUUGUCCGUCGUGCUCCGAAUUUACAUUGGUACGGGUUGAGGCAUCAGUGCCGUACGGCGGCAAUGGUGCCGUGCAUACGGGAUGGCACGGUGCCUAAAAGAAUUUGCCUUAGUUAGCCUUGGACUGUUUGUCGUGUGAGAUGCAGGGGCUGGGCAAGGAUAUGGUGCGCCAGAAUGUUCAUCGCCCACAUGGGUUCGCGCGUUUGCGUCUGCGUGGUAUGAUCGUGGUUCCUUCAAGCUGUGCCCAUUGCGGUCGAUCACCAAAAGUUUGCGUUCCAGGCUCCACGCGUACUACUCUGUCUUCUGCGGGAAACUGAUUCUACCCAUAAUUUAAAAUUUAACCAUUAAUUAUAAUUCUAAGUUAUAAUUUAACUGUUAAUGAAGGUGAGAGCCUUCUUUUUGUAAUCUUGCCUAUGAAUGGUGCCACUGUCUCAGUAAUCAUACAAGUCUAUUAUUACGAAUUACGAAAUACGAAAUACGAAUAAAGGUUUUCGUGGAUUUUUAUGCCGUUUCUGUACUCAGCUACCGAAUUAGAUUGACUAUCGGUUCUUUCAUUACAUGUUUUUGAGCAUUAGUUUUUGUGAACAGUCAGAUAUCUAGGAACAAGUUCGAACAAGUUCGACCCACUAAAAGUUAAUUUAGUUUCAUGUCAGUGUUUCAUUCUCAUCGUUAAUAUUGUACGCCGAAGAGGAGCUGCGCCCCAAUAGCAACACAUAUUCAUAUGUAGUGGUGGAGACGCCAUAUAGCUUUUUUAUAUUUGCAGUGUAGUUAUAAAUCUCAUGCUACGCGUAUGUCGGCUUGCUCACCUGAAGAAUUGUUGCUAUGUAGUGGGUGUGCAGCCUAUGUUGUGACGAUACUUAUGAGAAAUGACGAGCACGGUGAGGAAUGAGGUGCGAUAAGCUUACAAUGAGCAAAGCUACCUGAUGAGUUGUGCAAACUCCACACUACUACAACAUUCUUCGUCUUGUGCCUGAUUGUGCCUUGGUAGCUGAAAGGCCGAUUCUUCGCCUGGUUUGCCUGGGAUGUGUUCGGGCAAUCCUGCGAUGCAUUUGGAAAAGCCUGAGCCUUGUCCGAAAACACAAACACGGCAAUACAAGCAGCAUAAACGUGCUCCUCUCCCUCGUCUCCCUCUCUCCCUGAACGCGUCUCCUCUCCCUCGUAGGAACGGGGUUGACCACGGGGGAGAUGGGGAUGGGGUGUGUAAACGGAGACGCGUGGACGUUUUCCGGGAGUUCCGCGGACCGCGAACGGGAGCGGUUGCGGUUGGAGUCCGUGGGAACGAGAGCCAUCGGAGGAUGAGGGAGACGAGACGAAGACGAAGACGAAGAUGACCAGCGAAGCGUGAAGGCAGGAUCGCCUAACAGGGUGUUUCCACUUGGCCGAACACUAACACUAAGUUUGAAUGUUCUUCGUCCUGGACUCGUUUCUCGCCGUUCUAAAUGCAUAUAUUGAUACUACUAAUGAUAAUAGAAAAUAUUCAUCAAACAAAUUGGAGGUUGGGGCACUCCUGGCGGAGAACCGUAAGGCCUAGUGGAAACACCCCGUACACUAAGUCCACACUAGCGCACACUAAAGUUCCGUCAGACGGCAAGCAACCAGGAAUCCACAUGGCGAAGUAUAAGCAUUGGAUGGGGUUGGCGGCCGAGCAAGCGGGCAGGAAGGAGGCGCUCCCGCACAUCACAAUGUUUAUCCCACGUUCGGCGAAUCGCAAGCUUACAGGGUGUUUCCACUUGGCCGGACACUAUCUUCGGUACACUAUGUGCUAGUGUGGACUUAGUAUAGUGCUAGUGUGACGGUGUUUCCACUAGCGGCACUAAGGAGCGCCGAAACCAAAAUUGUUUUCGUAUUAUGAAUGUUUUAGCGCCAGGGAUUAAUUGCUGAUAAUUAAGCAUUCGCGUAGUUAAGAUCCGCUGCGGCGCAACCUGCGUCAUGAUGUCCGCCAUGAAGUCCGCAUGGUGCAUUGGCAACGGCCGGCCAGCGAAGGAAGGCAAACGAGCAGUAUAUGUUUGCUGAACGUUAUUGAAGGAGGGCUCCAUUGCAAAAUGGCGGUGUUCUGAGGCUGUCGGUGUUGGGCGUGCGCAAGUCAACGCGGCGUUUGCAGGAAGGAAAAAAGAUAGCUGCUUACGUCUAAAGUCUAUGGUCAGAAGGGAAAUCCAGCUCAUAAAAGUUGCCCGCCAAAUAGUUAGUGCUAGGUACUAAAGUUAAUGGCAGGUCUGAGGUCCAAUUAACUUUAGUGUGCGCUAGUGUGGACUUAGUGUACGGGGUGUUUCCACUAGGCCUUACGGUUCUCCGCCAGGAGUGCCCCAACCUCCAAUUUGUUUGAUGAAUAUUUUCUACUAUCAUUAGUAGUAUCAACAUAUGCAUUUAGAACGGCGAGAGACGAGUCCAGGACGAAGAACAUUCAAACUUAGUGUUAGUGUUCGGCCAAGUGGAAACACCCUGUUAUGCAGUUUAGGCUUUGCUGUUGGGCACUGGCGGCUAACAGAGCGCGUAAGGGACGGCAUUAUAUACCUAGGGAGGAGCGAGUAUGCCCUUGCUGCGGCACUGAUAGCCACAUCGAGGAUGAGAAACACAUUUUGCUGGAUUGUCCGGUUUACGACGAAAUCAGAUCUGAUAUGGGCCUUCCACGCUUCGAGCAUAUGAAGGACGCUACGAAGUGGGAACCUGAACGCCUGGCAAGGAUGCUGGAACGUAUAUGGUCUCACCGCAACUCUAUCGUUCCCUUUGGUCGUUAGUAUACUUCAUCACUUGUCUCGUUGGAAGUGCGAGGUAGGAUGGUGCUUAUUGGCGAUUUGGUAGCCCUUGAGCCCUCGGCUCGUACUAGGGUAGUUUGCAGGUACGGGGAACGCACCCACGACCAUGUAACAACAACAACAACAACAACAACAACAACAACAACAGGACCUUUCGUCCAGCAUGGACACGUGGAUCCGCAGCCAAUGCAUGGAGGCACCAUCGGCCGAAGACAACCCAGCUGGCCUGAUCGCCUGGUGGCCAGGCUUCAAGCGCCGCCUUGCCACCCUGGCCCAUCGACUCAACAAGGCAGCACAACAACGCCGACGACGGCCUGGCACCCGUGCCCGGGAAGCAAUUGCUGCGGUCCAGCGGGCUCAGCAAGCAGUCGAUGCGGCGCCCACAGCACCCCAGCCACUGCAGCAGCUAGUGGACGCACAAGCAGCACUGGCUAGGGCGCACCAGGAGGAUGGCAGCAUGGCAGCCAAGGAAGCACGGGCCCACUGGCUCCGGGCAGGGGAACGGACCGGCCCUGCCCUGACAGCCUUCCUUAAAGCCCAGGCGGCCGAACAGCAGCCUGCCCCAGUCGCACUCCAGGCGCACAGCGGCCGCCUAGUGACCAACCCAGCACAACUGCCGCAGGUCGUGGCAGACUACUGGGCUGAGAUCAGCCGAGCUCCUGACUUCAUCAGCCCCAGUGCCCAACAGGAGGUACUUGCCCAGCUGUCUGCGGCCAACAUCAGCCUCCCUGCAAACGCAGAUGAACAGCUUGGCUCCAAAACCAUCACAGCAGCGGAGCUACGGGUCGCACUGGUCAAGAGCCAGCCCGGCAAGGCACCAGGAUGGGACGGCAUCCCAGCCGACCUAUACCGCAAAUUCUGGUCCACCAUUGGCAACACCAUGGCGGGCCUCUUCACCGCCAUAGGCGCAACGGGGCAGGUGCCGACCGGGUUCCUGGAAGGCAUUAUCACGGUGCUCUACAAGAAGGGCGACCCCAAGCAACCCGGUAACUACCGCCCUAUCACGCUACUAUGCGCCGACUACCGCCUGCUCGCCAAGGUACUGGCCAACCGCCUGGGGCCGGCCCUGGGGCGCAUCAUCACCCCCGAGCAGUCGGCCUUCCUCCCCAAACGGCUCAUCGGGGCCAGUGUGAUGUUCCUGCGCCACCUAUCCCACCUCCUCCGCAAGCAGAACCGCCGGGGUCUCCUGGCGUUCCUGGACUUCGCGAAGGCAUAUGACACGGUGGACCGCGACUUCUUGCUAGCUGCGAUGGAGGCGAUGAGGGCGGGCCCGCAGCUGUGCAGCUGGGUUCGGCUACUGCUCAGCAACACGCAGGCACGAGCCAUGGUCAAUGGCUUUAAAUCAAGGCUGGUUGGGAUGGAGGCAGGCGUACGACAGGGGUGCCCCCUCGCGCCUCUGCUGUACCUCUUCAUCGCCCAGGCCCUGCUCUGCUGGCUCCGGAGCCGAGAUGUGGGGGUCAAACUACGGCCGAAUGACCAGGACCGCGUCACAGCCUGCCAGUUCGCGGACGAUACUGAAGUGGCGCUGGAGGGCGAGGAGUCAGUACCGUCGUUCCUAGAAGCCAUGGAGACCUUCGCAAGGGCGUCAGGCCAGCGCCUCAAUGUGGAAAAGGUGGAGCUGUUGAGGGUCGGUGCUGAGAACCAGCAACAACAGCAGCAGCCACAACCGGCGGGUAGGCAGCAGCUGCAGCAGCCACUACACCAACAGCCGCAGCAGGAGACAAUUGGUGGACUCAAAGUAGUCACCACCGCCACAGCCCUGAACUUGCCGGUAGACAACCGGCCCACACCCCCGCAACCCGAAUGGCCCAAGAUGCUGGCAGGCGCCUACAAGCGGAUGCAGCGGCUCGCCCGCUUCCCACUGUCAGCCUUCGGCAGGGCCACCGCCACGUCCGCCUACGGCCUGCAGACGGUCACCUGGCACAUGGAACAUGGCGGACCCCCUCCAGACAGCACUCUGGACCACAUCGAGCGGCUGACGGCCCGCCUGGUCGACCGGCAACAGGGCCCAGAAGACCCAGGCCAGCGUCUCACAGGUGUACCCGGCAGCCUUUUAGUAGGCCAUCCGUCAACCGGGGGUUUCGGCCUGCUGCCGCUCCGACAGCACAUCCACGCUCGCCACGCAGUCUGGGCCGUGCGAUUCAUUGCACAGGCACUACCGGCGGCAGGUUGUGAAGGUAGGGGUGCGGGAGGGGAAGUAACUGGGGGAGCAGGCGGGGACGAGGAGGUGGCAGCGGCAACCAACAGUGAGGCCCGGGGCCUACACCCCUGGGUACGCACGCUGUCCGCCUACCUGGAGCUCACCCACCCUGCACUCCAGCCUUGGGCUCUGACAACCGCCCGGGCCACGGGACCGUGGCUCGGCAGCAGCGACCUUCCCGCAGACAUCAGCCGGAUCGUGGGGGCACUGGGUCACUUACCGCCUCUGGAGGACAUUGGCAGAACCCCUCUGGAACCCGGUGAUUGGUGCUGGGCGGUGGCGCUGUGGGGCAACCCACUGCUGCCCAACGCGACCAAUGCUGCAAGCACCGAGGGCCCCAGCCGUCGACCAGGCCUGGAAGCAUACCACGCAGCACUGACGCCAUGCAGGAAACUACGCACGGUGGGGGACCUGGUACGGGUGUGGGAAGCGGUAAACACUAGCCAAGCCACCACCCUCCAGGGAGCAGCCUGGCAUUCGUGGGCCCGUGAGCACCUCGACCCAGCCACAGACCCCGCCCAGCUGCAGGACAAGGAUGCCGCCCUUGCAGCUCUUGGAGCCCUGCACAGCGACAUCAGCCCGGCCUGGCUGGCGGCAGCACACGCGGUGGAGAUCAGGCUGCGACAGCAACAACCAGUGGAGGAGGAGGGGCCCCAGCAGCAGCCACCAGCACCAGCAGUGACACUGCCAGACUGCGCACAAGUGAUGGCUAUGAUCAUCGGGCGCCUGGGGUGGCGCCUCCCUGGGGCGACGGACGCUGUGCCGCUCCGCCGCCUAACGGUCAGUCUAGCGACACAGCUACAGAACGGGCAUGUGGACGAGCGGCGAAUACGCCUGAUGACCGACUUCGUGCAUGAGGCCCUGAACACGCCCGAGGCCCAGGCCCAGCCUGACAAUUCUGCCGAGGUUAGCCGCUUUCAGGCAACCCUGACACGUUUGUGGCAUGGGGUGCGCUGGGAGAAUGAGAACAAGGAGACCAUGUGGCGUCUCGCCNNNNNNNNNNNNNNNNNNNNNNNNNNNNNNNNNNNNNNNNNNNNNNNNNNUGUCCAGUCGCACGUGCCGUACGGGAGCAGAUCGACAGGCACCUGCCACACACUCAGACAACAGUAGGGGCCACCACCACCCGGCAGCAGCUCUGGCUUGCCCAAGCGCCACCCGGGUGUGAGCAGGGCCCGUGGGACGUGAUCGCCCUAGCGGCGCUAUCCGCCAUGGAAGUCGGCAGGUGCUGCCUCCGAGCAGCAACCCGGCGACAGGGACGGAGGGGGGCGACAGCAACGGCAGGACCGCAGCAGCAGCAGCGACAGCAGCAGCGACAGGUGGUGGGGCAGCCCCAGCAACAGAGGUCCCGCCAGCGGGCCAUCACAGAUUUCUUCACCCCGGCGGGAGGUGCAAUGCAGCAAGAAGGACCCACCCUAAACGCCCCAGCGGAGGACGGGCCAACGCAGGAAGCAGGGGCGGGAGGGGGCGAGGCGGUGGCAGCAGCAGCAACGGCGGGCGCAACAGGAGCCUCGCCACUGGCCCGCGCACGCGCCCGGGCGGUGGCAGACGUCUGGGCGCGUUUGCGCUCGUUCGCAAUGCUGGAGACCCCCAGACACGGCUGGGACAGAGUCGGGCCGCAGCACCCCAUCCUGGCGGUCGUGGAGGAACGGAUGCGGUGCGCAGCACCGGUGGAAAUCACGGCCUAAAUAGCCGAGAUAGAGUUGGAUCGAGGUCUUACCGGAAAGGGAGCAGGGAGAGUGAGGGAGGGGGUGAGAGAGCCAGGAGUAGGGAUAGGUGAGGGAGCGAGGAGAGCAGGGAGGCCCUGGACAGUUGGAGGGCUGGGCGAGAGGGCAGUGCCCUGAGCGUGGUCUAGCAGGGGGAGUUGAGGACCCGGGCUGUGUGUGUUUUGUGUACUUGUGUGGUUGCCCUCUCCCCGGGAAUUGGGGCCCGUCGGAGUGAGGGGAAUGGGUUCUGCGCUGUCUGGCAUCAGAGUAGAGAACACGUAGGUGGCUUGCGGGAGUGGAGAGGAGGUGGGAAAGCGGUGGAGGAGAGUGGUUUAGAGGUGGAGAACAGGUGGUGCUGGUCCCGGCCGGUCAGGGUCAGGAGGGGAGGGAUUCCGGUGUGGUAAGCGGGAACAGGCGGCGUCUGUGAGCCGUGCCUUUUCCGGGCUUUAUAGGGGGGCGCCGUGCUGGCUUGUCAUCCCCCCCGCGGCUAUAGGUGUUUUUGCUGUGUCUCGCGCUGGGCUGCAUCCGAGAGCCCGCAACCCCCAGGAGGAGACUGACGUGCGGACCAGUUUCGCCUCGUUUGUGAGUGGACCGGCGGGGUAGUGGUGGCCACCCUCGGGAAGUGAUCGUUGUUCGUUGCUCGUGGUAGUUGAACAGCUGGCCUUCGAGGACCAGUGUGCGAGUACUCGCUUUGUGUUGGUCAUUCCUGUGCAACCGUAUCUCGGCUUUUGUGGUGUGUCGUCUCAGGCCCGUGGUCCUCCGUGUGUCCCUUGCCUUGCUGGCUGCGUGGGGCCCUGGUUCUUUUGUGUGUGUAGAGGAGGCCCCCGAGUAGAGCCCCUGCCCCCGGUGGUGUUUUCUUUUUGUUCUGGUUUUGGCGGUCAAGAGGGACGAGAGCGCGUGAAUAGGCAGGCCAGGCGAAGUGGCGCCUUUCGUGCGGUUCUUGCAUAGAUCGGUUUGCGCCGCUGUGUUGCCUAGCCAGGGGCUGGGAGAGUGUCCCGGUUGGCGUGAGUGAGGGAUCGAGGCGCGCGCGGAGGAACAGACGGACGUAGAGCCGCGCGCCCAUCCCUGCGCUGUGUUUCGGCCCGGUCAGGGCCCCCGGUGCUCGUCCUUUAUCGGGCGAGCCGCCCACAGUGUAACACCCCAUCAACAACAACUACCAGGACCUCAGACCUGCCAUUAACUUUAGUACCUAGCACUAACUAUUUGGCGGGCAACUUUUAUGAGCUGGAUUGUCCCUUCUGACCAUAGACUUUCGACGUAAGCAGCUAUCUUUUUUCCUUCCUGCAAACGCCGCGUUGACUUGCGCACGCCCAACACCGACAGCCUCAGGACACCGCCAUUUUGCAAUGUAGCCCUCCUUCAAUAACGUUCAGCAAACAUAUACCGCUAGUUUGCCUUACUUCGCUGGCCGGACGUUGCCAAUGCACCAUGCGGACUUCAUGGCGGACAUCAUGUGAGGGCUGCCAGGAAAAGCCUACGAUCCAUAAUUUUUCUUACAGACCUUGACAAUUAUCAGCAAUCAAUUCCUGGCGCUAAAACAUUUAAAAUACGAAAACAAUUUUGGUUUCGGCGCUCCUUAGUGCCGCUAGUGGAAACACCGUCACACUAGUACAACGUUCUAUAUUUUAUUACUUUUUCCUUUCCGUAUUUGUGUUCUUUGCUUGCCGCUUCACGUCGACAUUUUUUCGGACGUGACACCUUGUCACACCCCAUAUGUUUGGUCGAUUUGCGUCAUGUGAACUCUUAUGCUCGGCCAUUACUUCACAAUGGAGAUCUUCCUUGCAUUUGCCGUGUUUCCUCUCUUAUUCAACAACACCGCGUUUCGGCCCCGGCCGCAACGCGUCCUGUUACGACAUUCUUGCCGGGUUGCGCAAAGAAUAAUUGUGUCUCAGUCCAAGCAUGCUCGUCCAUUUUCAUCCAACAUUCAGGUGGGCAGGAUAAAGUCUAGUUUUUUCUUUCUGUUGUUCUUCCUGCUUUCCUGCUUUCUGAGUCAUGAACCUUGUGACAAAGCAAACAACCAUGUGAGUUAAAAAUGGAGUGACUACAUUCUCGUUUCAAUUUCCUCUUUCAAAGCCUUCCAAGUUUCUUGCUUCCUCAGGUGGCUUAUGUGAGCUCAUGAGGCUCGGGCGGCCAAAGUCUGGCUCGAUUUCAUCGUGCAAGGUUGAUCAGGUCAUAAGGGUUUGUUAGCAUUUGCACGGUAACAGUAUUUGCACCGCCUUUCGUUUAGUGAUGAGUCCUGUUGCAACGCAAAGUUGGUUUCCCUCUGUGCAGUUUUGUGGCCAUUGUUUGUUUCUUUGGAAACAUCCUGUUGUUUGGAAACACGCAUAACAUAAGCUACCAAAGGCUUGCUCGUUACAUUUUCCUGAAAAGUUUCUUACCGAUACCGGUACCAGUACUGACUGUAAUCCCGUUUGCCUGACGAAAAAGAAUAUACUCUGAUUUACUCGGUAAGCCAUUAGUUCCUACGCAUUCACCUAUUAAUCCAAUAAUAAUGCUGCUCACGGAUGACCGGCCCUAUUUUGACCACAGGCCGCGCCAUAGAACUGCAAGGCUACGGCCCGCCUUCAGGCCCGAAUGCACUGCACUUUUACUGACUCAUAAACCUCCCCAAAGCCAUGCUAACAUAUCUCCAAAAUAAUACACCAUCAAGAAAUCGCCUCCUGCUAGUAAAAGGCAAUAUAAGGCAAAUAGGGCCGGUCAUCCGUAAGCAGUCCCUAAUCGCAUUCUAUAUCGCUGGCACCCGUACCCCAAGGACCCUUGCGCUGUCUUAUAACGAGUCGCGAGAAUCAUUUAGAGUCUCUGAUCAAUUUGUAAUUCUUGGGCUGCACUACAACGACGUGUCCGUACGCCCUACAUACGGCUUAUGGUCGCCAAGUAACAUAAUACUAUGACACUACCGUUACGCUGAUACACAAGUUACUACGAUAGUAGUGCAAGUGGUGCGAAUGGGCAACAUGAGAGUUAACUUCGCUUCAAGACUAAUCCGUUUGUUAUGGGGAGGGCUUUACGUGGCCACUGUGUCCGCUUCUUUCUCAAGUACUCACAGCUUUGAAGCGCAAAAAUCCCUACGUGUUGCUGCUUAUGACGACGAAUGGGGGCUCCAUGCCGCCCGCAACUUGUCUGCUUGGCGCUCGCACCUCUUUGUGGCGACAGAAAAGGUUAGCUGUCCAAGUUAUAUGCUGGAUCAAUAAAUAUAUAUAAGUGUUAGCAGCCGCAAAGAAGU